rnacentral:piRNA from 1 species
AACAGAGAGAAGAUGACGCAGA